rnacentral:rRNA from 1 species
CUGGCGGCGUGGAUAAGACAUGCAAGUCGAGCGCUGAUCACUGGGUAGCAAUAUUCGGUGGUUGGAGCGGCGCAAGGGUGCGUAACACGUGGAUCAUCUGCCUGAAAGUUCGGAAUAAUUCCUCGAAAGAGGGACUAAUGCCGGAUGUGUCCCGAUGCAAAUCGGGGUAAAGCUGGGGACCGCAAGGCCUGGCGCUUUCAGAUGAGUCCGCGGCCUAUCAGCUAGUUGGCGGGGUAACGGCCCACCAAGGCUAAGACGGGUAGCUGGUCUGAGAGGACGACCAGCCACACUGGAACUGAGACACGGUCCAGACACCUACGGGUGGCAGCAGUCGAGAAUUUUUCUCAAUGGGCGAAAGCCUGAAGGAGCGACGCCGCGUGGGGGAUGAAGGGCUUCGGUCCGUAAACCCCUGUCAUUUGCGAACAAACCUUACUCAAUAACAUUGGGUGAGCUGAUUGUAGCGAAAGAGGAAGGGACGGCUAACUCUGUGCCAGCAGCCGCGGUAAUACAGAGGUCCCAAGCGUUGUUCGGAUUCACUGGGCGUAAAGGGUGCGCAGGUGGGCUGGCAAGUUCGAUGUGAAAGCCCCGGGCUUAACCCGGGAAUGGCAUUGGAAACUGCCGGUCUGGAGGGUUGGAGGGGGGACUGGAAUUCUUGGUGUAGCAGUGAAAUGCGUAGAUAUCAAGAGGAACACCAGUGGCGAAGGCGAGUCCCUGGACAAACCCUGACA